GGAGUUAGUGGUGCAAUAGGUUAAGCACACGGUCCCUGAAAGGGUGAAAUGCUGGUUCAAGUCCCGCUGACGUCA